rnacentral:rRNA from 1 species
UACGUAGGGGGCAAGCGUUGUCCGGAAUCAUUGGGCGUAAAGAGCGUGUAGGCGGCCCGAUAAGUCCGCCGUGAAAGUCCAGGGCUCAACCCUGGAAUGCCGGUGGAAACUGUCGGGCUGGAGUCCGGAAGAGGCGAGUGGAAUUCCUGGUGUAGCGGUGAAAUGCGCAGAUAUCAGGAGGAACACCAAUGGCGAAGGCAGCACUCUGGGACGGUACUGACGCUGAGACGCGAAAGCGUGGGGAGCAAACAGG